rnacentral:rRNA from 1 species
UACGAAGGGGGCUAGCGUUGCUCGGAAUCACUGGGCGUAAAGGGUGCGUAGGCGGGUCUUUAAGUCAGGGGUGAAAUCCUGGAGCUCAACUCCAGAACUGCCUUUGAUACUGAGGAUCUUGAGUUCGGGAGAGGUGAGUGGAACUGCGAGUGUAGAGGUGAAAUUCGUAGAUAUUCGCAAGAACACCAGUGGCGAAGGCGGCCAGCUGGCUCUGACCUGACGCUGAGGCGCGAAGGCGUGGGGAGCGAACGGG